AGGCCUAUCAGUAUCCUGAGUAGGGCGGGACACGUGAAAUCCCGUUUGAAUCCGCGAGGACCAUCUCGCAAGGCUAAAUACUAACCAGUGACCGAUAGUGAACCAGUACCGUGAGGGAAAGGUGAAAAGAACCCCGGGAGGGGAGUGAAAGAGAACCUGAAACCGUGUGCCUACAAGUAGUCAGAGCCCGUUAACGGGUAAUGGCGUGCCUUUUGUAGAAUGAACCGGCG
rnacentral:rRNA from 1 species